UACGUAGGGUGCAAGCGUUGUCCGGAAUUAUUGGGCGUAAAGAGCUCGUAGGCGGUCUGUCGCGUCUGCUGUGAAAACUCAGGGCUUAACCCUGAGCUUGCAGUGGGUACGGGCAGACUAGAGUGCGGUAGGGGGAGACUGGAAUUCCUGGUGUAGCGGUGAAAUGCGCAGAUAUCAGGAGGAACACCGGUGGCGAAGGCGGGGUCUCUGGGCCGGAUACUGA
rnacentral:rRNA from 1 species